rnacentral:rRNA from 1 species
GAUGAACGCUGGCGGCGUGCCUAAUACAUGCAAGUCGAGCGAACAGAUGAGUAGCUUGCUCCUCUGACGUUAGCGGCGGACGGGUGAGUAACACGUGGAUAACCUACCUAUAAGACUGGGAUAACUUCGGGAAACCGGAGCUAAUACCGGAUAAUAUAUUGAACCGCAUGGUUCAAUAGUGAAAGACGGUUUUGCUGUCACUUAUAGAUGGAUCCGCGCCGCAUUAGCUAGUUGGUAAGGUAACGGCUUACCAAGGCAACGAUGCGUAGCCGACCUGAGAGGGUGAUCGGCCACACUGGAACUGAGACACGGUCCAGACUCCUACGGGAGGCAGCAGUAGGGAAUCUUCCGCAAUGGGCGAAAGCCUGACGGAGCAACGCCGCGUGAGUGAUGAAGGUCUUCGGAUCGUAAAACUCUGUUAUUAGGGAAGAACAAAUGUGUAAGUAACUAUGCACGUCUUGACGGUACCUAAUCAGAAAGCCACGGCUAACUACGUG